rnacentral:rRNA from 1 species
AGUGAACGCUGGCGGUAGGCCUAACACAUGCAAGUCGAACGGCAGCACAGUAAGAGCUUGCUCUUACGGGUGGCGAGUGGCGGACGGGUGAGGAAUACAUCGGAAUCUACUUUUUCGUGGGGGAUAACGUAGGGAAACUUACGCUAAUACCGCAUACGACCUACGGGUGAAAGCAGGGGAUCUUCGGACCUUGCGCGAUUGAAUGAGCCGAUGUCGGAUUAGCUAGUUGGCGGGGUAAAGGCCCACCAAGGCGACGAUCCGUAGCUGGUCUGAGAGGAUGAUCAGCCACACUGGAACUGAGACACGGUCAAGACUCCUACGGGAGGCAGCAGUGGGGAAUAUUGGACAAUGGGCGCAAGCCUGAUCCAGCCAUACCGCGUGGGUGAAGAAGGCCUUCGGGUUGUAAAGCCCUUUUGUUGGGAAAGAAAAGCAGCAGGUUAAUACCCCGAUGUUCUGACGGUACCCAAAGAAUAAGCACCGGCUAACUUCGUG